rfam:Enterococcus sp. 3H8_DIV0648 scaffold00001, whole genome shotgun sequence.
GAGAAAGCGAUGAAAAGAAAAGUACAUCUGAUUAAAGUACAAAGAGAGCUCCGGUAUGCUGAAAAGGAGUUGCGGCAAUGAGAUGGAAAAUGGUCUUUGAGCAGGAUGGACGAAGCAGGUGCCAAGUCUAUCACGGGAGUGCCCGUUACAGCACCUCAGUAUGCGCAUAAAGCAAGUACUGGCAGAGGUUGUGAUCGCAAGGUCAGAACGAAUUUUAGGUGGUAACACGGAAGUUAAAGCUUUCGUCCUAAGU